rnacentral:misc_RNA from 1 species
UCGUACGGAUAAAUCGAUUUUCGUCGGAUACAGCUUGAGCGAAUGUUAUUUCGUUGGUGAAAAUCAGAGAUUACCUAACACAUCUUGGAAAGUGAAGCGGAGCGAUAACGCCUCUUCUACCGAUCUUUGUGCAGCAACCGAGAUACUUUUUGUAUAACUCUUCCUGUUCUAUACGUAUGCCAAGCGCAGGUUCGAAGGUAGCUCUUAACCAACUCAGAGCGAACUGCUCGUUUUCCUGUAUGAUUUGUUGAUGCGCGUGCUGCUGUUGAAGCGAAUUACUCGUCUCCACUGCUUCUAAACUGUGUGUGGUAGAUUUUGUCGCAGUGGCGGCUGGUGUCGUUGGUCGCGACGGUGCUGGACUAACAGGAGCUGGUGUCGCGGUGACUGUAACCGGUGUGGUUGGUACAGAGGAGGACACUGUUGUAGCUGGGGCAGUAGCGGUAACCGGAGUGUUCUGAGUAGCGUUUGGUGGCGGUGCUACCGUGGACACUGUCUCGAUCACCCUCAUCAGAAUACAUGCUUUUGGACCGUAACUUUGAGCUUCUACGGUAACAAGAGCGACCAAUGUGUCGAUAGCUCCGCGUACGCGCGCAACACUGGUACAUGGCCUUUCACCUAACGAAGUCAACGCGUACAAACAUUCCAAGGUAUAUACCAGAAGAGCUAUGUCGUUCAGAGCCAAAAACCU